UCAAUGUAGACAGCCUGGGAGAUCACUUUUCCUGGAACAUCAGGCUCUGCCCCAUGGUGUGCAGUCCCUUUCCACAGCAAUAGAAAUAGAGCUGGGCUUUGUGUCUGCAUCUCAUAGUCCCCUGUCUCAAGAGUUCUUCAAUGACUGAGAAGAUAAACCUUGCAGAAAAUACUG
rnacentral:snoRNA from 1 species